rnacentral:snRNA from 1 species
AUGUGCUCACACAUACUGAAAUUGGAACCAUACAGAGAAGAUUAGCAUGGACCCUGCACAAGGAUGACACGCAAAUUCGUGAAGCGUUUCAUUUAAAA